GCCAAAUUCAAAAUUCUUUAGACAAGUGUUUCUCAAAACUAAAGCAUACAACCUAUUAAUGGUUAUACCAUCAAUUUAGGAGUUAACGACUAAUAUUAACAACAAGGCACAGGACUGACUACAUCAGAGAAUACUGCAUGCAGUCAGGGAAGUGUGUGAAAUUUGUUUCAGUUACACAUGGGAGUACUGGGUCACAACACAAAAUGUAUCUCUUACAGUAGGAAGAUGGUUUUUAGAAAGUCUGAAAAACACUGCUUUUGAUAUUUAAGGUUCUAAAAGAGGUAACUGAAAGAGAACCCAACAGCUCUCCUCGGCCUCUGAUCCCUCCUAGGAACAAUUCAAGAGGGACCCUCAGCACAGGACGCAUCUCAGAGCCUUCUACCUGAUCUGAGGUCGGCCUGUGAACAGGUCUAUCCUGUAGCUUCUGUCUGAAGAAUCAGGUCCUGGUGCAGGCUCGCUAGCUUUCAAAGUGUCCCGUGUUUUGGACGGACAAUUUUAACUACUACAAAGUUGUUUCUUUCUUUUUUUUUGAGACAGAGUUUCACUCUGGUCACCCAGGCUGGAGUGCAAUGGGGCGAUCUCGGCUCACUGCAACCUUCGCCUCCCAGGUUCAAGUGAUUCUCCUGUCUCAGCCUUAGCUGGGAUUACAGGUACCUGCCACCACACCCAGCUAAUUUUCAUAUUUUUAGUAGAGAUGGGGCUUCACCGUGUUGGCUAGGCUUGUCUUGAACUCCUGACCUCAGGUGAUCUGCCCACCUCAGCCUCCCAAAGCGCUGGGAUUAUAGGUGUUAGCUACCACGCCAGGCCACAAAGUUCUUUCUUAUAUCAAGUGGAAAUCUGCCUCCCUGUAGAUAUCGCCAGAGCUCCAGAAAUACAGAGUAAGCAUCACUCUGUAUGCACUGGUUAGUCAACAUGAGGCUCUUUUGAGUAUUAAACCAGGCAAUACGGGUAAAAGAGACCAGUGCAGGACUAAGAUCUUGGUAGGCAUUCAAUAAACAGUAGUUAUUCUCAUCUUUGUUAUUCUCAUCUUUAAGAGUCCUUCAAACACCUGGAAACAGCUCUCAUCUUACCCGGUCCCCUCUCUUCCAAACCAAGCAUCCCCAAGACAUCAAAUAAUUAAAUUUUCAGACCCUUUUAUGCUGAGUGUGCUAGUUUCUCAAUAUUCCUCUUAAAAAGAGUACUGAGCACUCAAGCCUGUAAUCCCAGCACUUUGGGAGGCCGAGACAGGUGGAUCACAAGGUCAGGAGUUCAAGACCAGCCUGGCCAAGACAGUGAAACCCCAUCUCUACUAAAAAUACAAAAAAAUUAGCUGGGCGUGGUGGCGGGUGCCUGUAAUCCCAGCUACUCAGAAGACUGAGGCAGAUA
rnacentral:lncRNA from 10 species